CUGUAUAUGUUGUGUGCAUAUCGUCUGUAUAUGUCGGUACGAGGCCUUUGCUCACUACACUGUUGUCUUGCUUGUGUAGAUCCCAACAUAAAUAUGUAAUAUACAUCGGCUGCAUCUGGCAGGCAGUGCAGACUAGACACAGACUGAAGGCUUUCCGGGCCUGUGUGUUGGAAGCUGCUAUUCCCAAGCGUGUAGAAUCAGCCCCCCCCCGAACCCCAGAGGAUUCAGCCCUGGCACUGACGGAACCCACUCAUGUCACUAAUUUCUAAAUAUAGCCUCGUUUUUUUUUGGUCUUCCCCCAUUUUGUGUGUCUUUCAAGCAGCAGUUUGUCCCAGUCUUGUUCGCCGUACAUGUCUCCUCGCAUGCGUGUCUCUUCAUACAGUAUGUGUGUCGAACCGUCCCAGUUUGACCACCAAAAGUUGUCCUUCAUCAAUGUGGAAAGUAGAGUGAAGUUACAGAGGUAUCGACUGACAUGGUUUAAUUUUCCAUUCCAACUACGGUUGGUUCUAUUAGAUUUUUCCGUAGGGUUAUCUUGAAUAAUCAUUGUGCUAUUUUGAAUUACCAUUGAAUUGAUACUGAAUGAAAGAAGAAAUCACAUUGUUUUAGUCGACUGUUAGAAGUGUAGUAUCAUUGCAUCCUUGCAUCAUAUCUGGCUAGCCAAUGAUGUCGUUGCUUUGUGUUUAACUGCGGCUUGGACAGAUUUCAAUCGACACAUCAAGCCUGUCUGCCGGUUCGCCCUGGAGAGGGAGCGAUGGGGGAAUUAAGAGAAACAGAGACAUACAGCAUGUUGAAAUCAAGCUGAGAAUUGGGACGGAACGCAGAAAUGGGCUAGGUGGUUUGGGCUCGGCGGAGGUUGAAUCCCACUGGGCAAUCCUCUAAUUAGUUCUCGCUAGCCCAAGGCAGUUCAUUGCCACCGGCUUCGAAGCAUGCUGAGCUCCUACAAGGCCUCCUAAUAAAAUGAUUGACCGCUCUGGCAUGGAAACUGAUGAUAGCACUGUCAUAAGCAUAGCACUUGUAUUUAAUUACCUCCCGGGUUUUACCAUUCACACUAAACGUCUGUGUGAAUAAAGAUCGAUAAUUGGCAUUCUCGGUUCCAAACACGUUAACGUGAUCCAUCCUGGAGUCUAUCUAAAGCCGGCUGUGCCCCUCUACUUUGGAAAGGUCCUCAGUCAACGAAGGAUUAAGUUGUUUAUCACCUCAGUGUUUCAUGCCUUCAUCCCCCACCUUUAAUUGCCAUGGUCGACUUAUACCUCAAGAGGAACGUUAUCACCACAAGGAAGAAGAACGCACACAAAAACAAAGAGCAGAACGAGUUUGUAGAUCGGCUUUAUCACAGAAACGGAUGGAUUCAUAGAAUGUGCUUAUUUUAUUUUAUUGUCUCGUGAGUGAUCGUUCAUUCCAUGGCGGGCUGUGAGUAGAAGAACAGCAUUUGUCCUUUGUCUUCCCUCUAAUUGGCCAGCAAGGGAAAUCAGCCAUUGAAAUGGUGUCACAGAGAAUGUAUACUACCCCGAUGAGGUGGUUGUUUCAGGAACUUGUCUGGGGCGACAUUCACAACAAAUACUGCCGUCUAGCAGCACUCAUUUUCCCUUGUUUUAUCCCAGAGGAGAAAGACACAGUAGUUACGAAGAUGACACCUCAAAACAGAAGAAAAUGUGCAAAAAACAACAAGUCCCCAUCCCUCACAAAGUCUAUUUUUCACUCACUACGAGCCAAGCCAACGCAUGCGUCCAAUAUCCUGAAUUGAGGUAUUCCACUGAUGUUUCAUGACAUUAUCGUACAUAUUAGUUUCUUCUUCUGUUGUUACAGCAGCAGAGCCAGAGCUGACCUUGCCGUGAUGAGUGCUGCGCUGGUCACGAUCGCAGCUUCGUUAAGACAAUCACGAGGGGGCGGGGGCGAUGGAUGGGCCAUGCUAACGUGAGGUGGUACAAAGUACGUGUUGGGAUGUCUAAAUACACGGCUUUAAAUAUCCAAGUGACAAGGCCUCUGGUGAACUGCAGCCCCCCUCCUUAUCAAUGAGGUGGCCUCAUUAAUUCAGGUUGUUUUCACACCUUGCACACUCAUAUCACACGUUUUAUUAACAGAGUAUAGGUUUUCCUUCCCUAGACUUUCUUCCAUUCGAUAUUAGGAGCCAGGAAUAUACCCAAUACAUUUCUGGUGAUUGUUAUAGUAAUGCACAGGGAGCGAACAUGUUUUGGUGUUUUAUUCUGCCAUCCUGCUGCAGGUGUUUGAUUCACUUUUGAUACACAGGCAUAUAACCAGCGCGUGACAGUUCUGCUCGCCCAAACCAGACCCUGCAUGUCCUUGAGAUGUUUUCCUCAAACGUGGUGUUAUCAUAUACCCCCGCAAUCUCUCAAACAUCGCUAUAUGUAACGGGGUGUGUGUCAGCGCAACAAGCGGGAUAACAAUGAUUGAAAAUGCUGUCAUGCAUGCUGUCAUAAAAGAUAAAAACAUCAGCAUAUAUCAAUAAAUCCAAUGAUUAAUUAUGCUA